rnacentral:rRNA from 1 species
AUUUAACUCUUUCGUCAUUCCUAACACAUUCAAUUCUAACUAGUUUCGUACGGGUUAUUAAUGUCUUGUACACUGCCUUAUGUAGGGGGAUAACUACUGGCCACUGUAGCUAAUACCGCAUACCAUCGGAUGUUCCCAGAUGGGAUUAGCUAGUAGGUGGGGUAAAGGCUCGCCUAGGCGACGAUCCCUAGCUGGUCUGAGAGGAUGACCAGCGACACGGGAACUGAGACACGGUCCAGACUCCGACGGGAGGCAGCAGUGGGGAAUAGUGCACAAUGGGCGCAAGCCUGAUAAAGCCAUGCCGCGUGUAGGAAGAAGGCCUUCGGGUUGUAAAGUACUUUCAGCGGGGAGGCGUUACCCGCAGAAGAAGCACCGGCUAACUCCGUGCCAGCAGCCGCGGUAAUAC